AUGAAUGGCAACCUUUACUUGAUAUGGUCAGGAAAAUGGUCCCGGGCUGGCAGAGAGGGGUUCAUCCAGAGGUCGGGUAGAUUGGUGUUGGUCAAAUCCGUUAUCUCAGCCAGACUAGUCCACCAAUUGCUAAUCCCGGAUGCACCUGAUUGGGUGUUCGAAGAAAUAGACACAUGGAUGAGAUCCUUCUUUUGGGCGGGCAAGGACAAAACAAAUGGUGGCCAAUGCUUGGUGGCAUGGAACACCAUCUGCAGGCCCACAUGCUUUGGUGGACUGGGAGUCAAAAAUCUGAAACUCCAAGCUCUGGCGCUAAGGGCUAGGUGGGAGUGGUUGAGCAGAGUUGACAAGGAGAGGCCAUGGAGCAAUCUU
rnacentral:rRNA from 1 species